GUGGGGAAUAUUGGACAAUGGGGGGAACCCUGAUCCAGCCAUGCCGCGUGUGUGAAGAAGGCCUUUUGGUUGUAAAGCACUUUAAGCGAGGAGGAGGCUACCGAGAUUAAUACUCUUGGAUAGUGGACGUUACUCGCAGAAUAAGCACCGGCUAACUCUGUGCCAGCAGCCGCGGUAAUACAGAGGGUGCAAGCGUUAAUCGGAUUUACUGGGCGUAAAGCGCGCGUAGGUGACCAAUUAAGUCAAAUGUGAAAUCCCCGAGCUUAACUUGGGAAUUGCAUUCGAUACUGGUUGGCUAGAGUAUGGGAGAGGAUGGUAGAAUUCCAGGUGUAGCGGUGAAAUGCGUAGAGAUCUGGAGGAAUACCGAUGGCGAAGGCAGCCAUCUGGCCUAAUACUGACACUGAGGUGCGAAAGCAUGGGGAGCAAACAGGAUUAGAUACCCUAGUAGUCC
rnacentral:rRNA from 1 species